CCUCUCUACUAAUUGUGCCUUGGCCAGAACUGUUGAGUAAAUGCUGAGCUCGAAUACAUACAGUUGUUAUUUGAUCUCAGGACGGAGGCCUCACUCAAAAUUUUUUAUCUUUUUGCCUUCAUCUGCCACGCUCUCAUGAGAGUAUCAAACCAACUUCAGAGAUUUUCAGGCAUACUCAGACACUAACGUAUCACCUUGGACCAAGUGUGCAAACUCCAUCUCCUUCAGAUGCCGAAGGUGCUCUUUGAGGUACUCUGCAUUAAAAGCUGUCAGGAACUGUUCCUAAGUGACCAGAAUGGGUAAGGUGGCCUGCUUCAGUUGCCACCAAUGACCUGCAUCACUUACGAGCAUAUAAGUAACAAGUAUGACCUUCUGUUUAGGAACCACCCCAAGAGUUGCGAAGGCCUUCUCCGCCUCUGUCAACCAGUACUCUGCUUCUUCAAAAGUGGAUGCCCCUGUAAAAGU
rnacentral:lncRNA from 1 species